UACGUAGGGUGCAAGCGUUAUCCGGAAUUAUUGGGCGUAAGGAGCUCGUAGGCGGUUUGUCGCGUCUGCCGUGAAAGUCCGGGGCUCAACUCCGGAUCUGCGGUGGGUACGGGCAGACUAGAGUGAUGUAGGGGAGACUGGAAUUCCUGGUGUAGCGGUGAAAUGCGCAGAUAUCAGGAGGAACACCGAUGGCGAAGGCAGGUCUCUGGGCAUUAACUGACGCUGAGGAGCGAAAGCAUGGGGAGCGAACAGG
rnacentral:rRNA from 1 species